rnacentral:rRNA from 1 species
GAUGAACACUGACAGAAUGCUUAACACAUGCAAGUCAACUUGAACUUCUCUUUGUGUGGCGGACGGGUGAGAAACACGUAAAGAACACGCCUCACAGAUAGAGACAACAUUUGGAAACGAAUGCUAAUACCUGAUAUUAUGAUUUUAGGGGAUCCUAGAAUUAUGAAAGCUAUAUAUGCUGUGAGAGAGAUUUGUGUCCCAUUAGCUAGUGUUGGAGAGAACACCUCUCCAAGAGGAGGAUAUGUAUAGGCCCUGUGAGAGUGAUCGGCCACAAGAGGACUGAGACACGGCCCUUACUCCUACGCGAGACGGCAGUGGGGAAUAUAGGACAAUGUGCCAAGAGACUGACACCGCAAUUCUCUGUGCACGAUGAGGAUUUUUGGAGUGUGAAGUGGUUUCUGUUUUGAAGAAAAAAAUUACACUAUCAAAAGAAGAGGUGAGGCCGAAAAACGUGCGAGAGGAGGCGGAAUACGUAUGUGGCACGAGCUAUUCGGGUUUUUUGGGGUAAAGCGCGCCUCGGGGGGGUAUAUAAAAACUGAUGUGAAAAAACACGGGUCUACUCUGUAUUGCGUUGGGAAAAUGUGUAACUAUGGGUGCUGGGGGAGGGGAGCGGGAACUAUAAGGGGUUAGGGGGAAAUUCCCCGGAUAUAUGUAGGGAUUCUCGAUUGGGGGAACCCAGCUCUUAUGGACAGAGUCAGACACUGAAACGCGAAAAAGCGGGUAUAAAGAAGGGUUAUAUUCCCCGUGUAUCCACGGGCAACACCCCAAAGGGGGGGGAUCCGGGGGAUCCCCAAAAUUUUGUAGAGGUCUCGCCGGGGGACCCCCAUAUUCCCCCAAAAAGCGGGCCGUGGAAAAAAGGCCGGGUUGGCCAUUUUUUUAAUAUGUCGGGGCCUGCGAAAACCCCUGUUGUUUCUAAAAAUAAACCGCCCCGCGGGAAAAUCCCCUUUUUUUUUUUUUUUUUUUUAUUUUUGGUGC